rnacentral:misc_RNA from 1 species
GAUGAAGAACGUAGUGAAAUGCGAUAAGUAAUGUGAAUUGCAGAAUUCAGUGAAUCAUCGAUUCUUUGAACGCACAUUGCGCCCAUUAGUAUUCUAGUGGGCAUGCCUGUUCGAGCGUCAUUAAGUCCACUUAAGCCCUGCUUAGUGUUGGGAGACUGCUCCAGCGGUGCUACCCUGUAGCUACCCUGCAGCUCCUCAAAGACAGCGGCGGAGUUGUGGUAUCCUCUGAGCUUAGUAACUUGUUCUAGCUUUCGAGUACACCACUUCCCCUGCCGUAAAACCCUUAAUUUUUAAUGGUUGACCUCGGAUCAGGUAGGAAUACCCGCUGAACUUAAGCAUAUCAAUAAGCGGAGGA